rnacentral:rRNA from 1 species
CAUUUCUUACUGAAAUAAUUGUAAGUAACACCUGCUCAAUGAAUAUUUAAAUAGCCGCGGAAAUUUAACCGUGCUAAGGUAGCAUAAUCAUUAGCCUCUUAAUUAGAGGCUAGUAUGAACGGUGAAACAUUUCAAUUACUUUUUUAAUUAAUUUAUUUAAAUUUAAAUUAAGAAUAAAAAUGUUCUUAUUAAUAAAAUAGACGAUAAGACCCUUUUGAACUUCACUUUAGUUUGGCUGGGGCAGCUAAAUAAAAAUAAUCUUAUUUUUGCUUUUUCCUUAAACGACCCAAUAUAAUUGAUUAAUUGACCAAGUUACCAUAGGGAUAACAGCGUAAUAUCUUUUUAAAGCUCUUAUUAAAAAAGAAGAUUGCGACCUCGAUGUUGAAUUAGUGUAACUUUACUGAUGCAGUAAUUUUAAAAGUAGGUCUGUUCGACCUUUAAAACAUUACAUGAU